CACUCCUACGGGAGGCAGCAGUGGGGAAUUUUGGACAAUGGGCGAAAGCCCGAUCCAGCCAUGCCGCGUGCAGGAUGAAGGCCUUCGGGUUGUAAACUGCUUUUGUACGGAACGAAACGGCCUUUUCUAAUAAAGAGGGCUAAUGACGGUACCGUAAGAAUAAGCACCGGCUAACUACGUGCCAGCAGCCGCGGUAAUACGUAGGGUGCAAGCGUUAAUCGGAAUUACUGGGCGUAAAGCGUGCGCAGGCGGUUAUGUAAGACAGUUGUGAAAUCCCCGGGCUCAACCUGGGAACUGCAUCUGUGACUGCAUAGCUAGAGUACGGUAGAGGGGGAUGGAAUUCCGCGUGUAGCAGUGAAAUGCGUAGAUAUGCGGAGGAACACCGAUGGCGAAGGCAAUCCCCUGGACCUGUACUGACGCUCAUGCACGAAAGCGUGGGGAGCAAACAGGAUUAGAUACCCUUGUAGUCCCAUGAU
rnacentral:rRNA from 1 species